rnacentral:lncRNA from 1 species
CUGGCCAGCAUUUACAUUAUCAGUAUGGUAUCUUAUCCUACAUAUGCAUGUGACAGUAGGGAGUUGUUGUUGUUCGCCUGAGGCGUAAGACCCACCUUCCGACAGCUGCCUAGUAAUGACUUCGCAUAUUGACACCCUGAUUUGCAUAUUUCAGUGUUAUAACCUGUUGAGCAUAUUCAUGAUGUAUCAUUCAUUUUUAUUUGAUUAUUCUAUAUAUGCUCCAGAUGAGUUAAUUGUGAUUGUGGUGAUACUGUGAUGAUUUACUCC